rnacentral:lncRNA from 1 species
AUAAGUGCUCACUAUUACUUAAUUAAAAUGACCAACACAUCUAUGUUUUUUUUUCUCUCUCCAGCCAAGAAACACCUUUGGACAACUUUUCUGUGGCUCAUUAGAUAUUUUUGGAAUCCUAUGUGUUGGCCUGUACCGCAUGAUAGAUGAUGAGGAUCACAACCCAGAACACAAAAGGUUUGUGAUUACCCGGCCAGCCAACGAGUUUAAUCUGCUGCCCUCAGAUCUUGUAUUUUGCGCUAUCCCUUACAACACUGCUUAUUACAAAAAGAAUGAUGCUUCUGAAUCCCAAACUCAGUGUGAAAUUAUUAAUGUGGUACCACUGGCACCAGAGAUGCAAUCACAUACAAACUUUCCUUCUACAAGGGGCUCUGUGGAAGAGGGCACAUCACAGCCACGGCAUUCCCCAGUCCGCCUCUGAAGCCAAGACUGUUCUGAGUUUCUAAACUUCAGGAAGCAGUGCUGAAUCAGAGUGGUAAACUGCCACUCCAGAAACUUCUAGAUGAAAAAGUAAAAGAAAAUGGAAAGGAAAAUAUGAAGGAACUUCUAAGUGAGGAUGCUCUUCAUAGUCCAUGCUAAACUAGACCAAUCGAUACUCUCCACAUGCUCUCAGCCUGCUACUAACAAAGCAUCUCUAGAGAUAAAGACUUCGAAUCAGGAAAAUAAAAUGGAAGCAUGCCAUGUUUGUGCCCAUUUCUUAGUGGUUGAUCAGCAAGCUCACACUGUUUUGAAAGAGACAUAACUCUAAUCUUGUCCCACUGGAUCUGGUAUGAUGAAAAUAUGAGAAAUGUCAUUAAAGAAAAGUUCAUUGCUCUAUUUCCCUUGAGCAGAAAAUGGGUCAGUAUGAACUGUACUAAAGAAGUCUUCCAGAUGGAGAUAUGCUAUUGGAGUUAGAAACCAAUUUGUUUCUAAUUAAGACCUAGGUGUAUGCCUGGCACAUGUUUAAUAAGAAAGAACGUUAGAGUAGCAUGGAUGAAGUCAGGUAGAUUGAAAGUAGAUAACCUUUGAAAUCCCCUAACUCAGGAAUACAGAUAUCAUUGCAUGAAUGGUUCAC